rnacentral:snRNA from 1 species
AUACUUACCUGGCAGGGGAGAUACCAUGAUCAAGAAGGUGGUUCACCCAGGGCGAGGCUCAGCCAUUGCACUCCGGUUGCGCUGACCCCUGCGAAUUCCCCAAAUGUGGGAGUCUCGACUGCAUAAUUUGGUAGGGGGACUGUUCGCGCUCUCCCCUG